rnacentral:rRNA from 1 species
AUACGGAGGGUGCGAGCGUUAAUCGGAAUUACUGGGCGUAAAGCGUACGUAGGCGGUUGGUUAAGUUAGAUGUGAAAGCCCCGGGCUUAACCUGGGAACUGCAUUUAAAACUGGCGAACUAGAGUUGAGUAGAGGGGAGUGGAAUUUCAGGUGUAGCGGUGAAAUGCGUAGAGAUCUGAAGGAACACCAGUGGCGAAGGCGACUCCCUGGACUCGAACUGACGCUGAGGUACGAAGGCGUGGGUAGCAAACGGGAUUAGAAACCCUAGUAGUCC